AGUAAUGUCUGGGAAACUGCCUGAUGGAGGGGGAUAACUACUGGAAACGGUAGCUAAUACCGCAUAAUGUCGCAAGACCAAAGUGGGGGACCUUCGGGCCUCAUGCCAUCAGAUGUGCCCAGAUGGGAUUAGCUAGUAGGUGGGGUAAUGGCUCACCUAGGCGACGAUCCCUAGCUGGUCUGAGAGGAUGACCAGCCACACCGGAACUGAGACACGGUCCAG
rnacentral:rRNA from 1 species